rnacentral:misc_RNA from 1 species
CGGUAUUCUGUGUAAUUGUUUCUGAUAUGAGGCAAUUUCAGCGAUGCUAAAUAAAACUCAUUAUGUGUAAAUAACACACACGGAUCGGCACAUACACCGGGGUGCUCUCAUGUGGUUAACCCAUUUACAUCAAUCAUGAUUGGUAUAAAUGAUCCGCAGUCAAAGAGUCGGUGUUAUGGGAUCUGUGGAGGCAUAACC